rnacentral:rRNA from 1 species
GAUGAACGCUGGCGGCGUGCUUAACACAUGCAAGUCGAACGGAAAGGCCAGUGCUUGCACUGGUACUCGAGUGGCGAACGGGUGAGUAACACGUGGGUGAUCUGCCCUGCACUUCGGGAUAAGCCUGGGAAACUGGGUCUAAUACCGGAUAGGACAAUGGUUUGGAUGCCGUUGUGGAAAGUUUUUUCGGUGUGGGAUGAGCUCGCGGCCUAUCAGCUUGUUGGUGGGGUAAUGGCCUACCAAGGCGUCGACGGGUAGCCGGCCUGAGAGGGUGUACGGCCACAUUGGGACUGAGAUACGGCCCAGACUCCUACGGGAGGCAGCAGUGGGGAAUAUUGCACAAUGGGCGCAAGCCUGAUGCAGCGACGCCGCGUGGGGGAUGACGGCCUUCGGGUUGUAAACUCCUUUCGCUAGGGACGAAGCGUAUUUGUGACGGUACCUGGAGAAGAAGCACCGGCUAACUAC